GGUUUCUCUGUGUAGCCCUGGCUGUCCUGGAACUCACUCUGUAGACCAGGCUGGCCUUGAACUCAGAAAUCCACCUGCCNNNNCCUCCCGAGUGCUGGGAUUAAAGGCGUGCG
ensembl:miRNA